CUCCUCAAUUAAUUUUUAUUUUUAACCAUCAAAACCUAUCAAAGUAUUUGAAAUAUAUGAUUGAAUAGGAUAAAGAGUUUAAUUUUGUAACCAUCGUUGAAGUUUCAUAAUGAAUACAAGUUUUAUUUUAUGUCCUCGGGUUAGUCAAUUACAUUAAAAGUUGGUUGAAUGGAGCAAAAUCAUUAAAAUGUUUCCCCCCUAGAAAGAUAAAUCAAGCAAUAUGCAUGGUUAUGAACAUAAUAAUCUCAAAAGAAAGAUGGUAGAUGAAAAGAAAUUUGUUGUGCAGUGUCAUAGAUGAUUCAAAUGGAGGUACAUACCAACAAAGGAGAGGUUUGCAGGUUCAAUAUCAUGCAUAUUAAUUUGGUCUAUAUUUCUAAGGCUGAAGACUCCAUUCACCAAACUCUUAUUCUAAUAAAUCAACCCGGGGACAAAAAAUAUAAUUUGUAUUCAUUAGGGAACUCCACUGAAAACUGAAAAAGACACAACAUAAAAAAGUCAACUAUCCUAUUUAAUAAUAUAUCUCUAUAAAAUUAUAUGUGUUUAUAAUAAAAGUAGAAUCGAUAUAUACAUAUAUUAUAAGAGUUUAUAACGUCACAUUAGCUAAUAGAUCUCAUAGCUUCUAUAUUCUAACAGAUCCCGUAGAACCUAAAUUCAGAUAGAUUUUUACAAAAAGUUAAGAAUUCGUAAUAAAUUUAACUUUUUUUAUUGGGAGUGAACUAGGCAGUACCAGCAAAGCUUCGGAACUAUUUCCUCAAGAACAGAUUUUGAACCAUACUAAAUCUAAAUGUCUCUUUUAUGGACACAAAUCAACAAAAACUAAAUGAAGACCUAUAAAGAUAUAGAAGCUUAAAGUAGUCGUUAAUGAUGAAAGUGUACGUCGUGUGUGAUAAGAUAUCAAAAUUUAAGACUUUCAUGAUACUACUUGUGCAUAUAAGAACAUGCCUUAAAUGAAAUCCAAACUCUAGUAUUUAAUGGAGAAACUUAGGGUUAGAUUUCCUCGAGCGGGAUUCGAAAAUAUCUAUCUAAAUUUUGAAUAAAACAUGUUUGAAUAUCUGAAAAUUGAUUCUUCUUAUUAGAGUAACAAAAUCUCAAGAAAAUUCAUUUUCAUCUUGUCUUCAUUGUCCAGUUUAAAACGAAAGAUAGAGGAUCAUAGCAACACAUUUUUGCAUAAAAAUAAUCAUGCAUAGCUUUGCCAAAUUUGAGAUAGGGGUGGACAUUUCACAUCCAGAAACUACAACCUAGAAUUUAGGGUUCAAUCUUUUAUUGCAACUGCGUAUUUGACCUCUCGGACGUCUCAUACAAGCCCAUCAUAUCAUUCAUCGCAUAAACAUAAUGAAAAGUAGUGCGAAUUAAGACUUUUCAUAAAAACGAUAUAGAAGUCUUAAACUCUUUCAUUUAUGUAGAAAUAGGAAAACACUAAGUCUCGAUUCAUCAUCUUAAGACACGACAAUACUUGGGACACGACCC
rnacentral:lncRNA from 1 species